rnacentral:rRNA from 1 species
AGGCCUAACACAUGCAAGUCGAGCGGUAGAGAGGUGCUUGCACCUCUUGAGAGCGGCGGACGGGUGAGUAAUGCCUAGGAAUCUGCCUGGUAGUGGGGGAUAACGCUCGGAAACGGACGCUAAUACCGCAUACGUCCUACGGGAGAAAGCAGGGGACCUUCGGGCCUUGCGCUAUCAGAUGAGCCUAGGUCGGAUUAGCUAGUUGGUGAGGUAAUGGCUCACCAAGGCGACGAUCCGUAACUGGUCUGAGAGGAUGAUCAGUCACACUGGAACUGAGACACGGUCCAGACUCCUACGGGAGGCAGCAGUGGGGAAUAUUGGACAAUGGGCGAAAGCCUGAUCCAGCCAUGCCGCGUGUGUGAAGAAGGUCUUCGGAUUGUAAAGCACUUUAAGUUGGGAGGAAGGGCAUUAACCUAAUACGUUAGUGUUUUGACGUUACCGACAGAAUAAGCACCGGCUAACUCUGUGCCAGCAGCCGCGGUAAUACAGAGGGUGCAAGCGUUAAUCGGAAUUACUGGGCGUAAAGCGCGCGUAGGUGGUUCGUUAAGUUGGAUGUGAAAUCCCCGGGCUCAACCUGGGAACUGCAUUCAAAACUGUCGAGCUAGAGUAUGGUAGAGGGUGGUGGAAUUUCCUGUGUAGCGGUGAAAUGC